rnacentral:misc_RNA from 1 species
AACGCACAUUGCGCCCGGCAGUAUUCUGCCGGGCAUGCCUGUUCGAGCGUCAUUUCAACCCUCAAGCCCCCGGGCUUGGUGUUGGAGAUCGGCCCGCCCUCGUGGCUGGCCGGCUCCGAAAUCUAGUGGCGGUCCCGCUGUAGCCUCCUCUGCGUAGUAGCAAUAUCUCGCACCGGAACGCGGCGGAGCCUUGCCGUAAAACCCCCAACUUCUGAAGGUUGACCUCGGAUCAGGUAGGAAUACCCGCUGAACUUAA